AGAGUUUGAUCCUGGCUCAGAACGAACGCUGGCGGCAUGCCUAACACAUGCAAGUCGAACGCCCUGGGGGAUUUCCUCCGGGGAGUGGCGCACGGGUGAGUAGCGCGUGGGAACCUGUCCUUUUGUGGGGGAUAACCGAGGGAAACUUCGGCUAAUACCGCAUGCGCCCCUGGGCAACCGGGGGGAAAGAUUUAUCGCAG
rnacentral:rRNA from 1 species